rnacentral:lncRNA from 1 species
AUGCUCAAGUAGGCUCAUGGAGAGGUCUAUGUAGCAAGAAACUGAGGCCUUCUGAUAAGAGCAAUGUGAGGAGCCAUCUUGGAAGCAGAUCUGCCAGCCCCAGUCAAGCCUUCAGAGGACUGCAGCCCUGGGCAACAUCUUGACUAAAACCCAAUGAGCUACUCUAGUGAGAACCACCCAGCUAAGCCUUCCUGGAUUCCUGACUCUCAAACUGUGUAAGAUUAACCAACUGUCAAGGACCUCAGCUGCCAGCAGACAGGCCUCGAUGAUGAAGAAUGUCAGACACCCACGGCAGGCACCGUGUGGACACUCCAGGCCUGACCCCUCCCCGUGGAAGGCACAGGGGCAGUGCUGGUGAACUUCUGGAUGGCCCUGGGUAGUUGAUUGCUGGCUGCCACCAUCCCCCAACAGGGCAGGAAGAAACCUGUUUUGUGCCAGAUGACAAGAACCUGGAUUCACCUGUACCAGUAUGGUGGCGUGGGGUCGCUGGAGGGAUGUUUAUUUCCACCCUUCAGGAAGCAGCUCUGCAUAAAUUGUGCCUUGAAGAAGAAGACCUCAGAUCUGAGGUUAGAAGGCCGCUGCUUGUGAUGCACUGAAGCUCAGAGGUCACCCCAUCCGACUCUCCACACCAUCCCUCAGAAAACCACCUCAAUGAUCCAAAACGGACUCAGGUGUAUGACUGAAGAGGUCCUGGACCUCCAGAGAUAAAAUUACCAGCUCCUUAGAAGCACUCCAGAGUUUAUCAAAGCCUACUUCCGCUGGGGAAAGCUCUGUGCCUCCCCUCAGCAGCCACCCAUGGUAUCUACCCAUGGCUGCUUCUCUAAGUCCCCUGCCAGCCCCACCUUCAGGAGCUGGAAUUGGGAUGGGUAAAGUUUCCACAGCUACUUUCUUAAUGUAG